GAUGGCUUUUAUUAUUUUGAGGUAUGUAGUUUCAAUGUUUUAUUUGUUGAAGCUCUUCUUUAUUUUUAUUAUAUUAAGUAUAUGCCUAGAUAUUAAAAAUGACUGGAAGACAUCUUUUUCGAUGAGAUGUUCACAAGGUGAAUGGGAUUGCAUUCUUGAUUUGGCUAUCAGCUUGGAAGUUAAGAAAUGUUACUGACUUUUGCAAAUUGAUUUUGUAUCCCAAAACUUUGCUGAAGUUGUUUAUCAGUUCUAGGAGCCUUUGGUCAGAGUCUAUGGGGUUUUCUAUGUACAGUCUUAUAUUAUCUAUGAAACAUAGAUAAUAUACAAGCUCUUCCUCUCUCUAUUUCUCCCCGUCACCUCUGUAUCAGCCUUUACAGAUUAUGAUAUUUAUAUGCAAGGAAUGAGGAGCAUUCUACAUUGACAGUGCUCCUUAACACAAACUCUGUUUACCAGUCAGAAGAAAAUAAGAGGAAGGGCGCCCAGUAGCAAACUGGUUGUGACCCAUACACUCCAAUGUGAUGGGCUCCUCAAAUGGAAGAUCCCCUUCUAAGUGAAGGGCACAGAGCAAGCAGAGAUUCUCAAAUGUCUCUUGAGACCCACAAGGACUAUGGCUCUCCUACUUCCAAUGCCAUGAUCCCUGUCCUAGUGGCUGCUUUGGGGUUUUCCCAGGCUCUAACACAAAGAUUCCAAAGAUAUGUCUUUAGUAUUGUUUCUUCUUUGACAUCCUGAAUUUCCCAAGCCCCACCACUGAUAAGGCACACUUCGCUCCUUUCCUUUUCUAUCCAAUAUUGCUUUUUUGUGCCUAUAGCUCUUAGUCAACAUAUUGGAUUGGUUGUCAAAUAUCUGACAGGAACUAUAUUUGCUUGUUCAUGAUACUGUAUUUUCUUACUGCUAUUUGUAGGCAUUUUCAUUACCUUACUAGUUAACUUGAUUGUUUCUCUAUUAUGUGUGAUUAUCCAUACAAGAAGCAGUACAGAGUAGUGACUUAAGACCAUAACCUUAGUGGCAAACUGACUAUAAUCAAGUUGUAUCUUCAACCAGUAUCAACCGUGUGACCUAAAAGAAACUAUUUAACAUCUCUGUGCUUCAAUCUCCCAGCCACAAAAUAAAGAGAAUUUAUAUUGCUGAAUCAAAGGAUGUUGAAAAGACUCAGGCUCUACAACCCUUGUUUAAACCCUCUGAGACCAGAUGUACCCUAGAAUAAGAAAUUUUUGUUUUUUAAAGAAAGAUUAUAUGGAGUAUAUAUUAUAUAUUAAACAAUACCUCAUAAUAGAGUUUGGGAAACAUCUCAUAGUCAAACACAUCAAAAAUUCUACAGGGAAAUAUAGAAAUAUUUCAACUAAGUUGAAUAAAUAAACACAAGAAAUAGCUGCACAGCAGUUCAGGUCAAGUUCUGGCAUCACACAAAUUCAGGUACAGUCAGGUUUUGUUGCCAAAUGAGUUAUUGAAGAAAACAAGUUUCAGAGCUUGAACCACAUGAGGAUAUUGUUUAGCCAAGUGUUUGACACAUGUAAGUUCCCACCAAAAUGUUGUCUAUUAUUAUUAUCAGUGAAAACAUUUCUUGAGUGCCUAUCGCGUGUUAUUUAUUUUUACAUAUACUAUUGUUCCAUGGAACUUGUUAGUUAAGGUCUGAGACUCUCAUUUCUUCUCAUCAGGCUCUGAUUGAUAAUAUUUUCUCUUUUUAAGACUGUGAGUGACAUCUUCAGAACUUCAGGAGACAGAAUGUCAGAAGAGUUUCCUAGCAUCCCUUUAUUUUAUCCUGUAAAUUACUAAUAUUCAGAUGUGGUUCAUGCCCAUUGCUAAUCCCACGGUGGAAAAGACUGCAAGCAGAAUGGGAAAUACCUGCCAAUCUCAUCCUCGCUGCUCACCCCACCCCACCCCUCCUCAGUAAAGAAUGAUUCCUAGCCUCUCAAGUCUCUUCGCCAUAUCUGGCUUCCGCACCUGAGGUGGCCCAUCUGUCUCUGUUGUCCUUGAGAUGAUGGACAGUGUGGACAUCCAAUUACUGCCUUUUGCUUGCAGUUUGAGCCACUGAGAUCUGGGCAUCCCAUAUCUUCUACUGGAUAUUAUAUAAUAGAAAGUAUGCAGAAAAUGUCAUCUCAAGUUACAAGACAUAUAAGCCACAGAAUGCUCCUUGCUCUUGUUUUCUUUCUCCUUAAAUAAAUUUUCUCCUGAUGCUCAGGCAGAUGAAGGCAAGAUCCAUCCUUGGCUAGUGACAGUUUACUGAAUCGCUAUGUUUGCAGAUGAACCUUAUUCUAAGCCAACGGGCCCAGGCCUUGAUCUUCAAAGCACGCCUCAUAUGUUUUAAACCCAAACUUACUAAAAUCCUGUCUAAAUGAUAGUAGAAGUCACCAUAAUUUUCUGCAGGAAGAUUUCUGCCAGACACAGUUGCCAACAUCUGUCUGGAAGAGCUUCAGACGUACACUUCCCACCUUGUAUGCUACUUUCUCCUGUUGCAGCCCAUCCAGAGGGUGCCCUUCUUAUGCUCAGAGCUUUGAAAACGAACCGCAGAAUCCAGCCACGACCUUCCAGUUUGCUGAGGAGACUUUAUGAUCUGAUUUUAGGUUUUUCUCAUUUCAGUGACAUAUACGUGACAGAUGAGGUUGAUGAACUACAGAAAUACAGAUUCUAACUCAGAUGAAAAGCUUAAAUUAUUCUGCAGUCCCAUUGAAUUCAAGAAAGAAACUGAGAAGUCGGGAUUUCCAAGGGCUUUGAAACAAAUUUUCGAAACAAGUGAUGAAAUCAACAACGGUCAAAGAAACAUGAAAACAUGCAAUGCAGAAGUAUGAUUUUGGGGAAGCCACCAUCAUUCAUCUUGAAUCAAGAGAGAGAAGCCUCCAAGGAGUGAAGCAAACACGCAGGAAGAGAAGUUGAGAAAUGCAAAAAGUAUAAAGACAGGUCCUGGGAAUUUCUUUUGAGCUGUCAUUAAAGCAC